UAUCUCACAAGUGUCUGCCUUAUCAACUUUCGAUGGUAGUUUAUGUGCCUACCAUGGUUGUAACGGGUAACGGAGAAUAAGGGUUCGACUCCGGAGAGGGAGCCUGAGAAACGGCUACCACAUCCAAGGAAGGCAGCAGGCGCGCAAAUUACCCACUCUCGGCAUGAGGAGGUAGUGACGAAAAAUAACGAGACCGUUCUCUUUGAGGCCGGUUAUCGGAAUGGGUACAAUUUAAACCUGUUAACGAGGAUCUAUGAGAGGGCAAGUCUGGUGCCAGCAGCCGCGGUAAUUCCAGCUCUCAAAGUGUAUAUCGUCAUUGCUGCGGUUAAAAAGCUCGUAGUUGGAUCUGCGUCUUAGGACUUGGUCCAUCCGAUUGGAUGUGAACUAAGAACCUAGACUAAUAUUUAGCUAGUUUUACUGUAUGUUACCUUAAUUGGUUGCAUAUAGUGGCUGGCAUGUUUACCUUGAAAAAAUUAGAGUGCUUAACGCGGGCUUAUAAUGCUUGAAUACUCGUGCAUGGAAUAAUGAAAUAGGAUCUUGAUUGUUGUAUGCCUAUUUUGUUGGUAUAAAACAUAAAUACAAUUGAGAUAAUGGUUAAGAGGGACGGACGGGGGCAUUCGUAUCGCUGCGUGAGAGGUGAAAUUCUUGGACCGUAGCGAGACGCCCAACUGCGAAAGCAUUUGCCAAGAAUGUCUUCAUUAAUCAAGAACGAAAGUCAGAGGUUCGAAGGCGAUCAGAUACCGCCCUAGUUCUGACCGUAAACGAUACCAACUAGCGUUCCGUUGGCGGUAAAUACGCCUUGACGGGCAGCUUCCCGGAAACGAAAGUUUUUCGGUUCCGGGGGAAGUAUGGUUGCAAAGCUGAAACUUAAAGAAAUUGACGGAAGGGCACCACCAGGAGUGGAGCCUGCGGCUUAAUUUGACUCAACACGGGAAAACUCACCUGGCCCGGACACCGUGAGGAUUGACAGAUUGAAAGCUCUUUCAUGAUUCGGUGGUUGGUGGUGCAUGGCCGUUCUUAGUUGGUGGAGUGAUUUGUCUGGUUUAUUCCGAUAACGAGCGAGACUCUAGCCUACUAAAUAGUUUAUGCUGGAUAAAUGUAUUCGUACGCUAGUCCAGACAACUUCUUAGAGGGACAAGCGGUGUUUAGCCGCAUGAAGUUGAGCAAUAACAGGUCUGUGAUGCCCUUAGAUGUCCAGGGC
rnacentral:rRNA from 1 species